UUCCUUAUCAUGGUACUAAACUAGGGAUAUCUUCUUUCCAACAAAAAAAGAAUUAUCAAAAUCGGUACACCCAGUAAAAAGUUAUUGCGGAUUUUCAAGAAUUUCCAUCAAUUUCUCUGGGAUCCCAUCAUCAGAUUCUAGUUUCCUUAUCAUGGUACUAAACUAGGGAUAUCUCCUUUCCAACAAAAAAAGAAUCAUCAAAAUCGGUAUAUCCAGUAGAAAGUUAUGCGGUAUAAUACAACGUAGGUCGACGAAAAAAGCGUCAAGUAAAAACGCAUUAUUAGAUAUAACUCGAAAAGUAGUCGUUAGAUCUCAAAUAAAUUUAAAUGGGACCAAUUGGCACACACCACCUUUCGAUUAAAAGAAAAUUUGUC
rnacentral:misc_RNA from 1 species